CCGCCAAGACUCAGGCGCCCUCCCCGGGAGCCCGUGUGCAGAAAAGGGGCGAGGAAGCGUGCGCCGCUCUACCCAUCCCUUCUCCUUCAGGAGCGCUGCCCCUCCCCGGCCCUUGGAAGCUGUGGGCCGCGGAGGCCCGCGGGACCUGCACACAGUAGGGCUUCGCAAAGCAACUGCUCAGCUGAGCCGCCGGAGACACCCCGCGGGGCCAGGCCCUUAUAAGGGACAGCCGUGCUCAUGAAGAUGGAGGGGAACGCGCUUUGGGGUCAGAGUGCCCUGGGGACAUGAGGGACGCGAAGAUGAGACUCAGCACCGUCAAGUGCCUCCUGGGUGCCAGUCGUCUAACCCUGGAGACCCCGUGGUUAAAGGUCUUGGAACGCGAAUGUGGUUGCCUCCUGGAGUGCUGGCACAGGCCGGGUCCUAAGGAUGUGUAGGGGACCCUACUCCAUGUCCAUAUAUCUGCGGUGGACAGUGGGAAGCGGGAGUCAUCUACAGACCAGACUGCCAGACCCAGCCCGAGGAGGGCCGCCCAGCCUUGCAGCUCUGACCCGCCUGGCUGCUUGCCCGUGGUUCAGAUGAUUGGAAAAUCAAUAGUAGUUCCUCUUCAGACCAAGAGUGGGGCGCCCUCUUUCUUUAUCCUGCCGCUCUCCAUCAUAAACAGUCCCUGUUCUUCGCAGUUGUUGCUCUCCACCUGACCCUCUCAAACAAGGUCUGCACACCUUGUCUCAGCUUAUGCCUCAAGGUCUCCUCUCCCAAUCCUUCUGCCUCUGCCUCCCACCUGGGAUAAAAGACACACACCACCAUGCUCUGGUCUUUUGGUUGCACUGGGAAUCAAACCUGAGCCUCCCGUGCGGUCCUCGCCUGCAGAACACAGAGUCUUAGCAGCGUACACCACUGCAGCUGGGGCUCAAUCCUUCUUAACAGACUGUCACACAGAAUUUUCUGAACUUGUGCAAAAUGCUUAACCCUAAUUGCAAACUUCAAACUUUAUUAUCUGAUGAUAGGUUUGAUAUAUUAAAAGAAUGAUACAAAAAUACAGUAAGUGUCCAUAAAGUUCAUCCCCUGGGGAGUGAUUUCUCACUUUCCCUCUCUGUCUCUCUCCAGCGAACACAUAAGCUCUACGACAAAAACCUUUAAAAAAAAAAAAAAACUAUAUUACAAAGCAAAACAUGAUAAAUGUCAGAAAGAAGUUACAAAAUGCUGAAAGGAGAAGCUAUAAUUGAUAGGAAGACUCAUGCGAAAUUUCACUGUGGAGUUGCAUGUGAGCUGGGCCUUAGGAAGUCCUUAAAGGCUGAGGAGGUUUUAGACAGCCAGGAAGCACAGGACAGGUAUUCCUGGAGGAGGGAGUGGUGUGAGCAAAGACGUAAAGGCCGGAGAGCACAAGCUCUUUCUGGCUAGUGCACCAGGUGAGCUACAGCAGUAGGUCCCAACGCCAGCAGUAACAUGAAAUCAUCUGAACCCCAGGACCAGCCUCAUGGCCUACUGGUUACAGAAACCAAUCACACAUCACCAACCACAUGGUUAGAAUCCUGGCCCUGGUGGCUUGAAAACACCCCAGGCUCUUGUGCAUGUG